GGAUUAGAUACCCUGGUAGUCCACGCUGUAAACGAUGAGUGUUAGGUGUUGGGUUCGCAAGAUCUCAGUGCCGUAGCUAACGCAUUAAACACUCCGCCUGGGGAGUAAGGUCGCAAGAUUAAAACUCAAAGGAAUUGACGGGGACCUGCACAAGUGGUGGAACAUGCGGUUUAAUCCGAUGCUACGCGCAAAACCUUACCAACUCUUGACAUGGUGGUCGCGGAAUUCAGAAAUGGAUUCUUUCAGUUCGGCUGGACCACACACAGGUGUUGCAUGGCCGUCGUCAGCUCGUGUUG
rnacentral:rRNA from 1 species